AGGUGUUAGUCGCCAGUUAGUCAACAGUUAGUCUGCAGUUUGCCAGCAGUUAGUCAGCAGUUAGCGAGCAGUUAGUCAACAGUCAGCAGUUAGCCAGCAGUUAGUCAACAGUUAGUCAACAGUUAGCCAGCAGUUAGUCAGCAGUUAAUCAACAGUCAGCAGUUAGUCAGCAGUUAGCCAGCACUGUUAGUCAGCAGUUAGCCAGCAGUUAGUCAGGAGUUAGUCAGUAGAUAGUCAACAGUUGGUCAGCAGUUAAUCAGCAGUUUGCCAGCAGUUAGUCAACAGUCAGUAAUUAGCCAGCAGUUAGUCAGGAGUUUAUCAACAGUCAGGGGUUAAUCACCAGUUAGUAAAAAGUUAGUUAGGAGUUAGUCAGCGGUUAAUCAGCACUGAGUCGGGGGUUAGACAGGAGUUAGCCAGCAGUUAAUCAGCAGUUUGCCAGCAGUUAGUCAACAGUCAGCAGUUAGUCAACAGUUAGUCAGGAGUUGGUCAGCAGUUAGCCAGCAGUUGGUCAGGAGUUGGUCAACAGUUAUUCAGCAGUGAGUCAGGAGUUAGUCAGCAGUUAGCCAGCAGUUAGCCAGCAGUUAGCCAGCAGUUAGUCGGCAGUUAGUCAGGAGUUAG